UACGGAGGGGGCGAGCGUUGUUCGGAAUUACUGGGCGUAAAGAGCUUGUAGGCGGUUUGUCGCGUCUGCCGUGAAAAUCCGGGGCUCAACCCCGGACUUGCGGUGGGUACGGGCAGACUAGAGUGUGGUAGGGGAGACUGGAAUUCCUGGUGUAGCGGUGAAAUGCGCAGAUAUCAGGAGGAACACCGAUGGCGAAGGCAGGUCUCUGGGCCACCACUGACGCUGAGAAGCGAAAGCGUGGGGAGCGAACAGG
rnacentral:rRNA from 1 species